AUUUUUUAUAUUUUGUCAUCUUUUGCCAUAAUGAUUUUCAAAUGUAUACAUUUAUAUUUUUCUUCACAACUACCUUUAUUUUUGAUAUUUUUUUCUUUCACAAAAUAAAUAGCCACGGUAUCAUCCAUUUCAAAGGAGAACAAGAUACAGUUCACAGACCUCCAUUUUUAUUCCAUUUUUUUUUUACCAUCAACAACAUGCAUACGCAGUGAAUACAACUUGCACACACAGAGAUCAUAUUUCUUUUUCUUUCCUUCACUCAACACAUACUUCCAUUUUGGGAUAUACACAAAAAACAGGCACGACUAUAUUUUUUUAUUCCCUCUCUCCGCUAACCCGCCGGAGAACUCACCACUGGCGAACCCAUUGCCGGCCUCCUUUCUCCGAUCUCCAAGCAUCGAACUUCCAGCCAUCGCCACCGUAAAACCACCAGCUACACCAACAAAAUCAGCCGCCAUCAGCCACCCACGUCCAGAUCUGCCUCCACCAGAUCCGACGAACCACCAGCGGCGAAGAAACGCCAACAACCCGCCGAUCUCCAACACCACACCACCAACGCACUACCAUCGUCACUGCUUUACCAUACAUGGCCGGACUUGGGCAAUAUUUCGUUUCUCCGGCGUUGCUCCGGUGAACACCACUGAAGCAACGCCAUUAACAGCUUUCUGUGGUCUCCGAUCUUGAGGCUUUGAAUUUUUGGACAAACUCCCUUUGGAGCAUUUGUUUACAUGUUUCCACAUCUCUCCAAUAAUUUGGUUAUUUUGAAAUACUCGUCGGGAGUUGCAGUCAAAAGAGCCCUUAAAUUUGAUAUUGUAUUUUAUAUUUUCACACUUGUACAAAUAACAAAAAUAGUGAACUUUAUUUUUGGGUGUUGGGUGAGAUUUUUUUUAUUUAUACAAUUUCAUCUCGCGUUUAUGUGAAUUUAGACCGUUAAUAUUUACACUAAUAAAUUAAAUUAAUUAAUUUGUU